GGAAAACUCAAACGAAAUCCUCGCAAUAGAAAGAACCAUUACAGAUUAUGAAGGGACUCUGCUAUUGGCUCACAGAAGAUUCAUUAAGAAAGGGAUGCUCCAGAAGUCGUCAAGAAAGGCUCAAACCCCACGGAUGUUUUUUUUGUUCUCAGACAUAUUGUUGCACACUGAACCAACCGGCCCGUCAACAUACAAAUUCAAGAACGAGAUGAAACUCUGUUCCGUAAGAGUAGAAAUACCCAAAGUCUCUCUUGUCCCUUUCUCCUUUGAGCUACUCAGUACCAAUAGAUCAUUCAUUCUCUCUGCAAGGU